GAUGAACGCUGGCGGCGUGCCUAAUACAUGCAAGUCGGGCGAACGGACGAGAAGCUUGCUUCUCUGAUGUUAGCGGCGGACGGGUGAGUAACACGUGGAUAACCUACCUAUAAGACUGGGAUAACUUCGGGAAACCGGAGCUAAUACCGGAUAAUAUUUUGAACCGCAUGGUUCAAAAGUGAAAGACGGUCUUGCUGUCACUUAUAGAUGGAUCCGCGCUGCAUUAGCUAGUUGGUAAGGUAACGGCUUACCAAGGCAACGAUGCAUAGCCGACCUGAGAGGGUGAUCGGCCACACUGGAACUGAGACACGGUCCAGACUCCUACGGGAGGCAGCAGUAGGGAAUCUUCCGCAAUGGGCGAAGGCCUGACGGAGCAACGCCGCGUGAGCGAUGAAGGUCUUCGGAUCGUAAAACUCUGUUAUUAGGGAAGAACAUAUGUGUAAGUAACUGUGCACAUCUUGACGGUACCUAAUCAGAAAGCCACGGCUAACUACGUG
rnacentral:rRNA from 1 species